UACGGAGGGAGCAAGCGUUACUCGGAAUUAUUGGGCGUAAAGGGCGCGUAGGCGAUCCGACAAGUCUGGUGUGAAAGCCCACAUGUUAACUGUGGAAGUGCAUUAGAAACUGUUGGAUUUGAGUUCAGGAGAGGAAAGCAGAAUUCCCGGUGUAGCGGUGAAAUGCGUAGAGAUCGGGAGGAAUACCAGUGGCGAAGGCGGCUUUCUGGACUGACACUGACGCUGAGGUGCGAAAGCGUGGGGAGCAAACAGG
rnacentral:rRNA from 1 species